rnacentral:rRNA from 1 species
UACGGAGGGUGCAAGCGUUAAUCGGAAUUACUGGGCGUAAAGCGUGCGCAGGCGGUUUGUUAAGUCCGUUGUGAAAGCCCCGAGCUCAACUUGGGAAUUGCAGUGGAUACUGGCAGGCUGGAGUACGGUAGAGGAAGGUGGAAUUCCCGGUGUAGCAGUGAAAUGCGUAGAGAUGUGGAGGAACACCGAUGGCGAAGGCAGCCCCCUGGGUUAACACUGACGCUCAGGCACGAAAGCGUGGGGAGCAAACAGG